rnacentral:rRNA from 1 species
AGUGAACGCUGGCGGUAGGCCUAACACAUGCAAGUCGAACGGCAGCACAGUAAGAGCUUGCUCUUACGGGUGGCGAGUGGCGGACGGGUGAGGAAUACAUCGGAAUCUACUUUUUCGUGGGGGAUAACGUAGGGAAACUUACGCUAAUACCGCAUACGACCUACGGGUGAAAGCAGGGGAUCUUCGGACCUUGCGCGAUUGAAUGAGCCGAUGUCGGAUUAGCUAGUUGGCGGGGUAAAGGCCCACCAAGGCGAGGAUCCGUAGCUGGUCUGAGAGGAUGAUGAGCCACACUGGAACUGGGAAACGGUCCAGACUCCUACGGGAGGCAGCAGUGGGGAAUAUUGGACAAUGGGCGCAAGCCUGAUCCAGCCCUACCGCGUGGGGGAAGAAGGCCUUCGGGUUGUAAAGCCCUUUUGUUGGGAAAGAAAAGCAGCAGGUUAAUACCCCGCUGUUCUGACGGUACCCAAAGAAUAAGCACCGGCUAACUUCGUG